UAUAUACAUUAUAUAUAGUGUUACAAGGGGUAAAAUCACCUGUUUUGCCCCUUUUUAGUCAUCUAGUAGUCAUCAUAGAUAAAAGACGUUUAUAAACCUCCAAAGUCUUUCACAAGAAUAAGGUUGCUGUGUCAAC